CGCCCCCCGGCGGGCGGAGCCCGGCGCCGCGGCCAGGAUUUCCCACCUCGCUCCCGCGACUCCGCUGCGGGUCUGCACACCCGAGGACUCGGUUUGAAACGCCCGCUUAUUUAUUUUCUUGUCGCCUCGCUACAAGAUUCUAUCCUUGUUUGGGCAUGAGUGGGGGGCGGCAGUCUCGUGGGACCGGCGGCAUUCGUCGUUCCUCCUUACGGGGAUAAUUCGAGAAGUGCGGUCCGGGGGUACUUAACCGAAACUAGCAAUCCCAGGCGGUACAAGGCCCUCCAUCGUAGGCAAAGCACUACCUGAAUGUAGAUUUGGGCCAUACGUUGGAAAAUAAGACAUGAGAGUAUGCUCCGAUCAACUUUUACUGUUCACUGGACAACUAUUUUGGGAAUUUGCAGACCUAUAAAGCCCAUCUAUAAAUCUCAAGCAUGUCCACUUUCAGAGAAGAGAAAUGCUGACAACCAUUUAGUCUCUGAGGACAACACUUUUAAAGGACUCCAUCAUAGGACUGGAGAGAGAUUGGAUGUCAGAGUGAUUGAUGUGCUCCUACUGGAAGAAGGCAAACAUCCAUAUGUGAACUGCCUGUGGGGUUUCCAAGGAAAGGAACGGCAGGCAGCCUCUAUGAGCUUAAAGAAGAUAACUGGGACUUUAGUCCUAUAACCUCAAGGAACAGUAUUCUGUGAACCAUCUGAGAAGCUUGGAAGAGGACCCCAAACUCCAAAUAAGAAGCUCAGUGUGUCUGACACCUUGACUGCAGGCUUGGGAGGUCCUGAGCAGAAGAUCCAGUUCAACAGUGCCUGGACUCCUGAUCCACAAAAACUGAUAACAAAUAUUUAUUGUUUUAAGAUGCUAAGUUUGUAGUCAUUUUUUAUACAGCAACAGAAAACUAAACACACACAUAAACAGUUAUAAGUGCUCACUGUAUAUGAGGCUUUUCAUUAAUAAUCUAUAUUUUAUAAUAGAAUUAGAAUAUAGAUCUGUGAAGCUGAAGACACUCAAUCCUUGCUAGAUUUAAAUCAGGAAAAUCAGCUGAGAAUCAUUCCUUGAUAGAACCUGGAAAACAAGACCCUAUGAGAGACCCUGGGAAUUACAUUAAAUUCACUGUGGUUCCCAGUGUCACUGAAGAGGUUUUCCUUUCAUAGUCAGGUAGUCACCAUACUGUUAAGCAUUUGAACACAUGGGCAACUUCCAGAAUAGUUAUGACAUUGAUAUACCAAUCUCCAAAAUUCCUAGAAUACCAUGUUUUCAUGGUUGACCUUCAAAUCAGUCAGUUCUUUGUAACAUUGAGCCAUAAAGAUAGGGCAAAUACUUAAUGUUUUACAUAUAUUCAGAGAUUGACCCUCAAAAUACAGCCCAGAGAAACUCAAAAGAAUUAACUCUAUUUCUUCAAAUUGUGUGACGCCACCAAGGCCAGAUGACUUCAGCAUUGGGAAGGCAAUAUCCAGCUGUCAUCUUCUUGAUCCUCAUAUGCUACUACUAGCAUCUAGCAUUUACUGAGCAGAUAGUUUUAUUGUCCAGUUUUUAAAGAUAAGAAAAUUGAGGUAUUAGGAAAGUUAAGUUGGUUGCCUAGGGAAACACGAAGAUAUAGCCCAGAUUCACUCCCAGGCAGGCAGAUGCCAGUGUCUGCUCUCUUUACCACCGAAAUAUCCUGCUACAUGUACAAUUUCAAUAAAUAUCUGGACUUACUGGAACAAAACAAAUCAACAACAUUCUUAUUUUCUUUCUUCAGUUUAGAUUAAAUAAUUUAAAUGUCUUCUUAAGAAGCUACAGUUUUUUGAGGCACAGAGGGAUAGGAGGGUAGGUCCUACCAGUUGAGUCACUCAGCCCUAUAGUUG
rnacentral:lncRNA from 10 species